GGGCCCGCACAAGCAGUGGAGUAUGUGGUUUAAUUCGAAGCAACGCGAAGAACCUUACCAGGUCUUGACAUCGUGCGCAUAACAUAGAGAUAUGUGAAGUCCUUCGGGACGCACAGACAGGUGGUGCAUGGUUGUCGUCAGCUCGUGUCGUGAGAUGUUGGGUUAAGUCCCGCAACGAGCGCAACCCUUAUUGCUAGUUGCUACGCAAGAGCACUCUAGCGAGACUGCCGUUGACAAAACGGAGGAAGGUGGGGAUGACGUCAAAUCAUCAUGCCCCUUAUGACCUGGGCUACACACGUACUACAAUGGGCCGUUAACAACGGGAAGCAAUACAGCGAUGUGGAGCAAAUCCCCAAAAACGGUCUCAGUUCAGAUUGCAGGCUGCAACUCGCCUGCAUGAAGGCGGAAUUGCUAGUAAUCGCGGAUCAGCAUGCCG
rnacentral:rRNA from 1 species